UACGUAGGGACCGAGCGUUGUCCGGAAUCAUUGGGCGUAAAGAGCGUGUAGGCGGCCACUUAAGUCCUGCGUGAAAUCUUGCGGCUCAACCGCAAGCGGUCGUGGGAAACUGGGUGGCUAGAGUGCGGGAGAGGAGAGUGGAAUUCCUGGUGUAGCGGUGGAAUGCGCAGAUAUCAGGAAGAACACCCGUGGCGAAGGCGGCUCUCUGGAACGCAACUGACGCUGAGACGCGAAAGCGUGGGGAGCGAAUGGG
rnacentral:rRNA from 1 species